UGAAGCUUGUGCUAGUAUUGCCUAUCGCUACUGCAACGGUAGAGAGAUGUUUUCAUGCCAUGAAGAUUGUGAAGACUUGCUUAGCUAAUCGCAUGGGCGAUGAGCACUUGAGUAAUAGGCUUAUUUGCUAUGUGGAGAAAGAAAUACUGAAGAAAGUUACCAAUGAGGCUGUGGUUCGACGUUUUAUGAACAUGGAAGGAAAAGAUCGCAAAUAUGAUAUCUGAAAUGAAAGGGACCGGGAUUUUGGAGUCGGAUCAUAUAUUUUGGUUAUGAUUAUGGAUUUAUCAAAUGGCAUGAUCAAUAUCACUUCAUUUUGUUAAAUGGUAGAUAAUACUAUCACUUAUUCAUAUUUAUUACCCUAUCUAUGUUGAGCUAUUGAUAUCAAAUGUUUGGUAAUUAUGCCAUAUAGCUAUGAUAUAUUGUUUCAACCAUA